CAGGCCUAACACAUGCAAGUCGAACGGUAACAGGUCUUCGGAUGCUGACGAGUGGCGAACGGGUGAGUAAUACAUCGGAACGUGCCCGAUCGUGGGGGAUAACGCAGCGAAAGCUGUGCUAAUACCGCAUACGAUCUACGGAUGAAAGCGGGGGAUCUUCGGACCUCGCGCGGACGGAGCGGCCGAUGGCAGAUUAGGUAGUUGGUGGGGUAAAGGCCCACCAAGCCUACGAUCUGUAGCUGGUCUGAGAGGACGACCAGCCACACUGGGACUGAGACACGGCCCAGACUCCUACGGGAGGCAGCAGUGGGGAAUUUUGGACAAUGGGCGCAAGCCUGAUCCAGCCAUGCCGCGUGCAGGAUGAGGGCCUUCGGGUUGUAAACUGCUUUUGUACGGAACGAAAAGGCUCUUUUUAAUAAAGGGGGCUCAUGACGGUACCGUAAGAAUAAGCACCGGCUAACUACGUGCCAGCAGCCGCGGUAAU
rnacentral:rRNA from 1 species